AUUGAACGCUGGCGGCAGGCCUAACACAUGCAAGUCGAGCGAGCGGCGGACGGGUGAGUAAUGUAUGGGGACUGCCCGAUAGAGGGGGAUAACUACUGGAAACGGUAGCUAAUACCGCAUACUAUCGGAUAACCCAUAUGGGAUUAGCUAGUAGGUUAGGUAAUGGCUCACCUAGGCUACGAUCCCUAGCUGGUCUGAGAGGAUGAUCAGCCACACUGGGACGGGGAGACGGGCCGGAGUCCGGCGGGGGCAGCAUUGGAGAAUAUUGCACAAUGGGCGAAAGCCUGAUGCAGCCAUGCCGCGGGUAUGAAGAAGGCCCUAGGGUUGUAGAGUACUUGCGGUCGGGAGGCGUUACCGACAGAAGAGGCACCGGCUAACUCCGUGCCAGCAGCCACGGUAAUUC
rnacentral:rRNA from 1 species